rnacentral:tRNA from 1 species
AUACCCGUAGCUUAAUGGCUAGAGCACGUGGUUUGGGACCACGGGGGUGGGGGUUCGAAUCCCUCUGGGUAUA